AUUGAACGCUGGCGGCAUUCCUUACACAUGCAAGUCGAACGGCAGCACGGGAGCAAUCCUGGUGGCGAGUGGCGAACGGGUGAGUAAAGUAUCGGAACGUGCCCAGUUGUGGGGGAUAACUACUCGAAAGAGUGGCUAAUACCGCAUACGACCUGAGGGUGAAAGCGGGGGACUCGCAAGGGCCUCGCGCGAUUGGAUCGGCCGAUAUCAGAUUAGCUAGUUGGUGGGGUAAAGGCCCACCAAGGCGACGAUCUGUAGCUGGUCUGAGAGGAGGACCAGCCAAACUGGAACUGAGACACGGUCCAGACUCCUACGGGAGGCAGCAGCGGGGAAUUUUGGACAAUGGGCGCAAGCCUGAUCCAGCCAUGCCGCGUGCGGGAAGAAGGCCUUCGGGUUGUAAACCGCUUUUGUCAGGGAAGAAACGGCUCUGGAUAAUACCUGGGGCUAAUGACGGUACCUGAAGAAUAAGCACCGGCUAACUACGUGCCAGCAGCCGCCGUAAGAC
rnacentral:rRNA from 1 species